CUGCGCGAUGUCCAUUUCCUUGCGGUUAUUCCGCUUCCUGGAAUUCGAUUUGGGAGAAAAGCCCCCACGGAUAACCGCAGUGAGGUUCCACAGACGGACGGAAAACAAACAAAUUGUCCUGGAUUUGGACAUUAGCUUUGAUGGACCUAUUGAGGUUGAAGUGGCUCUUUUCAAGCGCUUCCUGA